rnacentral:rRNA from 1 species
GACGAACGCUGGCGGCGUGCUUAACACAUGCAAGUCGAACGGAAAGGCCCUGCUUUUGUGGGGUGCUCGAUUGGCGAACGGGUGAGUAACACGCGAGUAUCCUGUCCUUGACUUUGGGAUAACUUCAGGAAACUGGGGCUAUUACCGGAUAGGAGCUCUUGCUGCACGGUGGGGGUUGGAAAGUUUCGGCGGUUGGGGCUGGACUCGCGGCUUAUCAGCUGGUUGGUGGGGUAGUGGAUUACCAAGGCUUUGACGGGUAGCCGGCCUGAGAGGGUGACCGGCGACCUUGGGACUGCGAUACGGCGCAGACUCCUACGGGAGGCAGCAGUGGGGAAUAUUGCGCAAUGGGCGGAAGCCUGAUGCAGCAACGCCGCGUGCGGGAUGACGGCCUUCGGGUGGUAAACCGAUUUCGACUGUGACGAAGCGUGAGUGACGGUAAUGGGUAAAGAAGCACCGGCUAACUACGUG